rnacentral:rRNA from 1 species
UACGAAGGGGGCUAGCGUUGUUCGGAAUCACUGGGCGUAAAGGGCGCGUAGGCGGCCGCUCAAGUCGGGGGUGAAAGCCUGUGGCUUAACCACAGAAUUGCCUUCGAUACUGUUUGGCUUGAGACCGGAAGAGGUGAGUGGAACUGCGAGUGUAGAGGUGAAAUGCGUAGAUAUUGGGAGGAACACCAGUGGCGAAGGCGGCUACCUGGACCGGUUCUGACGCUGAGGCGCGAAAGCGUGGGGAGCGAACAGG